UGAACAUUAAGGGAGCCAGGCAUGGGGUACUGGGGAGAUGAUCAAACCUGACCUAAACUGUACAGGUAGGAAAAAACAACAAAUAUUACCACAACCACGGUGCAAGGCCAAAGACGAACUAUAUAAUCAGCAUGACACUACGAAAUACUAUAAUUAGAGAUGAGAUAUAUCUUCGCAGAAUAACAAUCUUUGGCAGUGAGCUCGAUGUCUUUCCCUGUUCUUUCAUCUGGUUUGGCAACCUCGGACAAUGUUCACAUCCUGUGAAGUAGAGGAAAGUCCCAAUCAAUUAGUACAUAUUCCUGUAUUCCAUGAUUAAAUAUGCUAGAGUAUAUAUAUAUAUAUGNNNNNNNNNNCGAUGUCUUUCCCUGUUCUUUCAUCUGGUUUGGCAACCUCGGACAAUGUUCACAUCCUGUGAAGUAGAGGAAAGUCCCAAUCAAUUAGUACAUAUUCCUGUAUUCCAUGAUUAAAUAUGCUAGAGUAUAUAUAUAUAUAUAUGUAUAUAUAUAUAUAUAUAUAUAUAUAUCGGAUAUUUAUAUAUAUAUAUGAAUUAUACAUAUUCAGGUCAAUAUGAAUUAUACAAAUUCCAUGAGUAAAUUAUGUCAAGAACCUCCAAAGCAAG
rnacentral:lncRNA from 1 species